CUGACCGGACAGCCGCGGAGGGUGUGCCGAAAGGCCCCCUGUGAGGAAAGUCCGGGCUCCAUAGGGCAAGGAUAACGGGUAACGCCCGCCGUAGGCGACUACAGGAAAAGUGCAACAGAGAUAUACCGCCAUUGGUGUUCGCCAUCACUAUGUCAACCUUUAUGAGCUUCUACGCUCGCAUGAUAGUGCACUGGCGCGCCAAGGGUAAGGGUGGAAAGGCGAGGUAAGAGCUCACCGGCUGCCGUGUGAAAGCGCGCAGCCCUGUAAACUCUAUCCGGAGCAACACCGCAAUGGAAGCAAGGCUUGCCCGGCUGCUUCCGCUUAGGUGGCUGGAGCGUAUUGGCAACAAUGCGCCUAGAUAGAUGGCUGUCGAUUACAGAACCCGGCUUAUAGGUCAGAU
rnacentral:RNase_P_RNA from 1 species